UACGGGGGAUGCAAGCGUUAUCCGGAAUGAUUGGGCGUAAAGCGCCUGUAGGUUGUUUAUCAAGUCCGUUGUUAAAGACCAGGGCUUAACCCUGGGAGUGCAAUGGAAACUGUUAGACUUGAGUAUGGUAGGGGUAGAGGGAAUUUCUAGUGUAGCGGUGAAAUGCGUAGAUAUUAGAAAGAACACCAGUGGCGAAAGCGCUCUACUGGGCCAUUACUGACACUGAGAGGCGAAAGCUAGGGGAGCGAAAGGG
rnacentral:rRNA from 1 species